AUAAUGUUAUAGAAAAAAUAUUAUAACAAUAAGGAAAACAACCUCACCAAUUCAAAUUUAUACUCAUGUACGAGAAUUAAUUAUUUUUCAUUUCAAAGAAAAAUAAUUAUGAGAUAAUCAAAUAAACAAUGAUGAGAUUAUGUCCAACAUAGAAUAAAAGAACAAAAAGUGAAAAUAAAAAACAAGAAAAUAUCUAUUACAAGAAAGUAGCUAUUCAACCCAACAUAGAUAUCAUACUUUUACAUAUAUUUGUUGAAUAAUGCAAUCACGCCAUCUUAAAAUAAUGGAGGCGUAUCACGACCAAUAUUCUCAAAGACCAAAUCAUGCAUGAAUUCUUCAUCAGUCAAGCUCAUAAAUACUCUAGCCAGACUCUCAUCCAAUCGAAAUACUUUCAUGACUUGCAUUAUGUCAUGCUUCUCAAUGUCAUGCUUUGUAAUUUUUCUAGAACCAAUUGCCAAUUGAUGUGAUUUAGUGUAUCUAACGUUGCUUGAAUCUCCAUAGCAGUAGCAAUUUUUUUGAUGAUUUAGCAAUGCUUGAUAGGGCUAUGAGACUCUCAUAAUUGGGUUGGGUACGUCAUCAUCGAAUUUUGUUAGUUCAUUUGUCAACAUUAAGCUUAGGAGCUUGGACUGGGCUUGAUAUAUAUAAGGAAUUAUAAGCAGGUUAUGUUAAUGCAGAAGGCUCAAGAAGAGCAAACCAAUGCAUAAAGACAAUGCUCAAGUCGAAGAGUUCUGUUGCCAAAGCAAGACUAGCUGCGGAGCAAGAGAAAGCUCAGUCUGCUUAAGAAAAAGUGAAGAGUGGAAGUGGAAAUUUGGAAUCGCUGUCAGGGAAGCGAAAGAUGCUCUUCAGAAGGCUUCAGCUGUCCAUGGUUACAAACAAGCAAACACAGUUGAGAGAAUAUGCUCUAAGAAUAGAAUUCUCUCUUGACCUUGCAAAAAAGUAAAACCUCUCACUCUUUCUCUUUUCAUGCUCUCACCCUUUUGAGUUCAUUGCAAAUCUUGUUGGUUCAUUUAUUGUCUUAAGUGUGAAACAUCAGGAAGAGGAAAUAAAGAACAAGGCAUCAAAGGUUGAGCAAGCUAAGCAGUAGUUGACUACUGUGAUUUUAGAUUUGAAGGUUAGUUUAUGACAAAGAGACAAGGAAAUAGCAUUCACAAAGACUUAGAAAAGUUAUGAUGCAAUUAUAGCUUGCUUAUUCUGUUAAUAGUGCUUAUAGUGUGCUUAAAUAAUUAAAUGCAUACCUUAGCUCUUUUGUGCCCUCAAAUGUUAUCCAGUGAGGAUAUUUAAUAGUAGUGCUUUCUGAAAUUUCAUGUGAAUUGUGUGAAAAAAAAAAUUUGCAUAACAAGUUGGAAUUUUCUAAACAAAUGAUACUGAUAAUUGAUUACCCACGGCAGCAUGCAUCACAAAUUUGGCAAUAGAGUUGUCAUUAUUUCUAGAAAACCACCUGCUUAAACACCUUCCCCCCAAUACACAUGUAAAUUUGAUACAAUAUUGAUACAUAUCUAAUGUUGAAUUUGUCAAACAAAUGACACUGAAAAUUUAAUACCCAGUUCCACAUGCAUCUCAAAUUAGGCUUCAGAGUUCUUAUUUCUGGAAAGCCACCUACUUAGAUACCCCCAACACAUGCAAAAGAAAAAAAAUCCCUACAUGGAGGUAAUGGAAAUAUGCAAAAACGAAAUUAAAUAGUGGCUUCACAGAAUUGGAUCAAAAUUAAUGGUAAACUAGCUUAAAAAAAGUUUGGCUUAUUUAUAUGAAAUCAAGCUGGUUAAUACAUAUAAUGAUGGUGAAGAAGGUAAAUGGCAAGGUCAUCUCUUUAUUUUGUGUGUCUAAAAUAUGAGGUUGUUGAGUGGAGUUUUUGAAGAGACAACAAAUUUGAAUUCCUACUAGCAUAUAAUUCUACAUCAAGCCACUACCCAUAUUCAUUUCACACACUUUUUCUCAAAAUGAAAAUUAUAGAGUUUCUAAAUUAGCAACUUGCAACCUAUCCCCUCUCGUCGCCCCUUCACAGAAUUGGAUCAAAAUUAAUGGUAAACUAGCUUAAAAAAAGUUUGGCUUAUUUAUAUGAAGUCAAGCUGGUUAAUACAUAUAAUGAUGGUGAAGAAGGUAAAUGGCAAGGUCAUCUCUUUAUUUUGUGUGUCUAAAAUAUGAGGUUGUUGAGUGGAGUUUUUGAAGAGACAACAAAUUUGAAUUCCUACUAACAUAUAAUUCUACAUCAAGCCACUACCCAUAUUCAUUUCACACCCUUUUUCUCAAAAUGAAAAUUAUAGAGUUCUUAAAUUAGCAACUUGCAACCUAUCCCCUCUCGUCGCCCCUCCCCACCCCACAAUGGGAAUAAAAAAACAAGCAGCCUCAAUCGGAAGAUCCGGACAUCACAUUUGUCAUCAGUUUAACUGAACUAAAGUAGUAACAAUUUAGUCAAUGCAAAGAAAAUACAUACGUGCCAUUGAUUCAUCAGUCCCCAUCACCCCUUCUUUCAACAUAAACUUCACAACAAUGGUUAACAAGAACAAGAAAUCUCACAUACUUUUACAUAUUUUUGGAGAGGAGAAACAAGAAGAGCAACAUUUGCAAUUUUUAAAAGUACUAUGAAACAUACCUUAAUCGAUGCAAUCAACGAGUCAUUAUCGACCUUUUGCAGUGAAUAGGACAGAUAUGGAAGCAGCGAUUCGUUUGGGUAUUUGAUUUUUUCUUCCCUCUUUCUGAUUCGAUUGUAUGAGUAUUUGAUUUCUU
rnacentral:lncRNA from 1 species